rnacentral:lncRNA from 1 species
GACUAUUUUUCGAUCCUUUCGAGUUUUCCUUUGUGUCUGAGUCCUUCAUGAAAGUUAUAGGUCUACUUCUUAGCUUUCCAACCCAUCCUCUUGUGUCCAAUUUGGAUAUAUAUAGUUCAACUUAUGGCUGAAAAACCCAAACUGACUCUGUUAUGACGGGCUACAUGCAUCACUGAAUUGAGUGCCCAUUUUGACCACUAUAAUGAUAAGAUUAUAUUCUGAGUUCUUCAUGAGAGUUGUUUCCCUGUGUCUUGAGACUUCUCUGGUUUUGGAUUGGUUUGAUUUGAGUGUCUGGAUAAGUAGGAAUUGGAUAAACAUUGGAAUUAGUGCUGCUGAAUCAGGUCUGGACUAUUGGUCUGUGUUCCUAGCCUUUUUUCACCAUAUUACAGAUUGAUCUGGGCUGUUGUCCCUUGAUAACAUUUGUAGAAUUUUGUCUUAGCUUUCUAAUGAAUCAAACUUCACUUAAUUUGGAAAUCUAUAACUCAAGUUAUGUCCUAAAAACCCAGAAAAGGUCAAGGUGAUAUUAAUGCUGGAAAUUUUCUAUGUCCUAAAUCAAAGGGUUAUUUGGAUAAAAGUAUGUAUAAAUCAUGUGUGAUGAAGUGCUCUUGAUUAUUUGUAUGUUUUAGAAUUUAUUUGACAAAAAUAAAACAUAAGUGUGAGAAGGGUUGUUGUGGAUAUCAUUAAAUGGAUAUAAAUUGGAAAGGUGUGGAAUUGAUUUAGAUAAUGCAUGAUGAGGGUUGAAAUGGAUACUUUUGUGCAUAAGAGUUAUGUUAGCAUGCGUGAUUGGAGAAGGAAAUUCCUCCCCUUGGUACCACCUUAGUGUAGUAAAGCUUACAUAAUUAUUAUAUAUAUGACAUAAGUAUGAUUAUUUGAUAACUUUUAUAUGUUUAGAGUUUUAACAAAGAAAUGGGUAUUUAAGGUGUAAGUGCUUUGUAUAUAUAUACUAUCUUAAAAAGAAUGUGGUAAUUUGUGUAAGUUGUAAGUUGAGAAAUUUUGAAGUGAUGGGUAUUAAGUAAUGAAGUGUUUUUGAUUAAGAAUUAUUGCUUUUGUGCAAGAAUGAUUUUGAUUUGGGCUCUACUAUGCAUGAUUGAAACGUGGUAUGAUGAGAUUGAUUUUGUUAUUGUGAAGCUAUGAUCAUAUGCUAGGGUUAUCAGCCCUUAUAAAUAGGCGGACGCGCUUAUUUGUGUGAUGGGGGUGGUGCUUUCAUAGGCCACGGUGGUGCUUUCAUAGGCCACGAUUGUGUGAUGGGGGUGGUGCUUUCAUAGGCCACGAGUAUGUGAUGGGGGUGGCGCUAACAUAGGCCACGAUCAAAUCUGCUUAUGUUCAUUCUGCAUGAGUAUGAGCCUUAACGAAAAAUAACAUUUUAUUGUUGCUAUAAAAGAAUGAAGACAUAUUUGUAUUUAUAAUC